AGCUUGUCCGAAGGUAGUGCAUUAUCUCAAUAGAUUGUUCACAGUCAGUUACAGAUCGCACUCCUCAUUCUACUCUUGCCCCCUUCUCACUACUGCACUUGACUAGUCUUAA
rnacentral:Y_RNA from 1 species